AUGCCACUGCAAGAAACAUCUGCGGGGAGAAAAGUGUCUAUUUUUAAGAGGUUUACUCAAGGAAAGGUACGGCACACAUGUCUUUCUCUGACACAUCCUUCUUUUUCCGCCUGCAUAGAUUGUCUGUACCACCGGCAGCUUCGGAUCGGACCAGCAGUCGGAGUGUCACCUGUGAUUCUGGCAGGCGGUUGGUCUCAUCUCCAUCUCAUUGUGAGAGUUCCAGCGCCUUCAUUAGCAACUCGGCUCGUCACACUGCCUUUAAAUGCUGAUAAUGUGAUAAUUAAAACAGCUGACGAGCAUGAGCUGUCAUCACUGUGGCAACAAAAAGCCUCAUUUACAGGUGGAAGAAUAGCAAAGCAUCAUCCAGUUUUUUGACGGUAAAUGAGAGCCUCCCGGUGCCCAUUACCGCGCGCACCAGAUGAUGAGAGCCGAAUGAAGGUCCUCAGAGACCGCGUCACGUGACCAACAAAACGUCAGUGGCAGAUGGCAUGGGUACCAGCGCUGGUGCCUGGCAUGGGUGUCAUUUCUCUGUGAAAGAGAGAGAGGGGGAGAGGGAGAUUAAAGGAAUUCUACAGCUUCACAUCAAGCACAUGGGAGGCAGCUCUGCGCGUCGCAAGGAAUCCGAACAUGCGAGCUGAACACUGACAGAAACAGGUGAGCCAUGGAAAGCCAGUCUGCUUUAAAGAAUCAGUUUGGGUAUGCAUGUGUUGUUGUUGUUGUGUUUAUUGUUAUAAACAGUCACGCGCAUAGAUCCAGUCUUUUCUGUCGUGCAAACAAUGCACUAUGGCAUGGUUUUGAGUUCGUCGUUGCUAUUUUGUAGUUGUUGUUAGUAAGGAGUAACAUCGGCCAGUUUAACCAAUUAGAAAUAAGCUACAUGAAAUCAAUAUAGCUACAUGACCACCACCCUCCUGAGAUGACAAUAGAAACUGUAAUGCGUUGUGUAAAAUUCAUUAAUUUUGAGUUGACUGAUACAAUUUCACGUAUUUGAUAUGUGAUCAUGUUAAUUGAUGUUCAAACCACAGAGUGUGUCAUCUGAAUCAGCAGGUUCUCGUUUGAUUUGAUGUAUAACUUCUACAUAAGAUUUAUGUUUAUGCUAUGAUUAAAAAUAAAAACUAGAAACAUCAUAUACGACCA
ensembl:lncRNA